rnacentral:rRNA from 1 species
UACAGAGGGUGCAAGCGUUGUUCGGAAUCAUUGGGCGUAAAGCGCACGUAGGCGGUUUACUAAGUUUGGUGUGAAAUCCCGGAGCUUAACUCCGGAAGUGCACUGAAUACUGGUAAACUAGAGGACGAGAGAGGAUGGUGGAAUUCCUGGUGUAGGGGUGAAAUCCGUAGAUAUCAGGAGGAACAUCAGUGGCGAAGGCGGCCAUCUGGCUCGUUUCUGACGCUCAGGUGCGAAAGCGUGGGGAGCAAACAGG